UACGAAGGGGGCUAGCGUUGCUCGGAAUCACUGGGCGUAAAGCGCACGUAGGCGGAUUGUUAAGUCAGGGGUGAAAUCCUGGAGCUCAACUCCAGAACUGCCUUUGAUACUGGCGAUCUCGAGUCCGGGAGAGGUGAGUGGAACUGCGAGUGUAGAGGUGAAAUUCGUAGAUAUUCGCAAGAACACCAGUGGCGAAGGCGGCUCACUGGCCCGGUACUGACGCUGAGGUGCGAAAGCGUGGGGAGCAAACAG
rnacentral:rRNA from 1 species